rnacentral:miRNA from 1 species
UAUUAGGUUGGUGCAAAAGUAAUUGCAGUUUUGCCAUUACUUUUAAAUGGCAAAAACUGCAGUUACUUUUGCACCAACCUAAUA